AGGUCCUCGUGCAGCUAUCUAUCAUGCUGGUGAAUUGUCUAAGCAAUUUGGUACUACGCAAGUGGCAGUACUCUGGUAUCAUGUCAAUCAUUGUCCACCAUUGCACGGAAUCGCACAGAUGGCUGCUCCUACAGUUGCUCACUGGUCCGAAAAGUACAAUCAUUUGGUAGCUAACUUGCAAGAGAAGGGUUAUAGUGUUGUCAGCUAUAUCCCUUUGAUACCUGUUGAAGAAAUCUCAAAGGCAUAUAAACAGGUUGAAUCUGCUGCAACGAAGAAAGAAGGUGCCACUGACUCGACCUCUAGUAAAUCUGAAUGAGAUUACAAUCUCAGUGGUAUUGUUAAACCCAAUGUUUCUAAUUGUGCUCUUG
rnacentral:lncRNA from 1 species